rnacentral:rRNA from 1 species
AUGGCCGAAUGCUUCAAUAGGGUGCUCAAAGGUGCACGUGGAUUACCCGUGACGGCAAUAGUUCAAUACACAUUUGACAAGAUGAAUGCGUACUUUCUAAAGUACUCAAUGGAAACUGAUGCACAGAUAGCGGGUGAGAACCCGCGCAAGUACAAGUACAAGUUCCCACCCAAGGUUGAUGAAUGGUUAGAAUUUCAAUCACGAAAGGCGGACUCAGAAGAAGCUAUAUUAUAUGACAACGAAGAGUGGAAGUAUGAAGUGAAAGAGCCAGGAGGAACCACAAACGAUGGCCAGCAACAUGGAGGUCGGGCUUUCAAGGUGUCGUUAACACAAUGUGAUUGCUCUUGCGGGAGGCCAUUGUUGCUUCAUCUCCCAUGCUCACAUUUGUAUAGCACCGGUCGCGUUAGAAAUGUGGACAUCAAUCACCCACGCACCAUGAGGGAGUUGGAGUUCUCAAUCAUGACGGUCAAGAAAACAUGGGCUCCCCGCUUUCACCCAUACUUUGACCAAUCACAAUGGCCAAAGUACCAUGGAGUUCAACUAUGGCCGGAUCCG